AGAGUUUGAUCCUGGCUCAGGAUGAACGCUGGCGGCGUGCCUAAUACAUGCAAGUCGAGCGAACGGACGAGAAGCUUGCUUCUCUGAUGUUAGCGGCGGACGGGUGAGUAACACGUGGAUAACCUACCUAUAAGACUGGGAUAACUUCGGGAAACCGGAGCUAAUACCGGAUAAUAUUUUGAACCGCAUGGUUCAAAAGUGAAAGACGGUCUUGCUGUCACUUAUAGAUGGAUCCGCGCUGCAUUAGCUAGUUGGUAAGGUAACGGCUUACCAAGGCAACGAUGCAUAGCCGACCUGAGAGGGUGAUCGGCCACACUGGAACUGAGACACGGUCCAGACUCCUACGGGAGGCAGCAGUAGGGAAUCUUCCGCAAUGGGCGAAAGCCUGACGGAGCAACGCCGCGUGAGUGAUGAAGGUCUUCGGAUCGUAAAACUCUGUUAUUAGGGAAGAACAUAUGUGUAAGUAACUGUGCACAUCUUGACGGUACCUAAUCAGAAAGCCACGGCUAACUACGUGCCAGCAGCCGCGGUAAUACGUAGGUGGCAAGCGUUAUCCGGAAUUAUUGGGCGUAAAGCGCGCGUAGGCGGUUUUUUAAGUCUGAUGUGAAAGCCCACGGCUCAACCGUGGAGGGUCAUUGGAAACUGGAAAACUUGAGUGCAGAAGAGGAAAGUGGAAUUCCAUGUGUAGCGGUGAAAUGCGCAGAGAUAUGGAGGAACACCAGUGGCGAAGGCGACUUUCUGGUCUGUAACUGACGCUGAUGUGCGAAAGCGUGGGGAUCAAACAGGAUUAGAUACCCUGGUAGUCCACGCCGUAAACGAUGAGUGCUAAGUGUUAGGGGGUUUCCGCCCCUUAGUGCUGCAGCUAACGCAUUAAGCACUCCGCCUGGGGAGUACGACCGCAAGGUUGAAACUCAAAGGAAUUGACGGGGACCCGCACAAGCGGUGGAGCAUGUGGUUUAAUUCGAAGCAACGCGAAGAACCUUACCAAAUCUUGACAUCCUUUGACAACUCUAGAGAUAGAGCCUUCC
rnacentral:rRNA from 4 species